AUACGGAGGGGACUAGCGUUGUUCGGAAUUACUGGGCGUAAAGCGUACGUAGGCGGAUCAGAAAGUAUGGGGUGAAAUCCCAGGGCUCAACCCUGGAACUGCCUCAUAAACUCCUGGUCUAGAGUUCGAGAGAGGUGAGUGGAAUUCCGAGUGUAGAGGUGAAAUUCGUAGAUAUUCGGAGGAACACCAGUGGCGAAGGCGGCUUACUGGCUCGAUACUGACGCUGAGGUGCGAAAGUGUGGGGAGCAAACAGGAUUAGAUACCCUGGUAGUCCACACCGUAAACGAUGAAUGCCAGUCGUCGGGCAGUAUACUGUUCGGUGACACACCUAACGGAUUAAGCAUUCCGCCUGGGGAGUACGGUCGCAAGAUUAAAACUCAAAGGAAUUGGACGGGGGCCCGCACAAGCGGUGGAGCAUGUGGUUUAAUUCGAAGCAACGCGCAGAACCUUACCAACCCUUGACAUACUCGUCGUCGCUCCAGAGAUGGAGCUUUCAGUUCGGC
rnacentral:rRNA from 1 species